UUUCAGAAGGGAGCGUCCAUUCUCCCUUACAGCUCCAGAAGGAAAGUCCACAACAGUGAGGAGGAUGUGGCCAAAGGCAACCAGACCAGGAAGCAGAGAGCGCAUCUCCAACCACAAGCCGAAAGCAGAUAGAACAAGUGGGAGUGAGGCUUUGCUGUGUGCUCUCCAAGCCCACCCUUCAGCGAUAUCCUCCCUCCAACAAGUCUGUACCCCUUUAAUUCCCCAAACAGGAACACCAGCUGGGAAACAAGUGUCCAGGUGCCUCGACUAUGAGGAAAAUUUCUCUUCCAAACAACCAUGUUUGUCCUGUUCAACGUUCCCAGCCUGGUGGUUCACCCAGACUCAACCUGCUUCAAGUCUUUGCAGAUUUGGGUACCCGAGUCAAACAUGUAACCACAAGAAGCCCCAGAUGAACAUCAAGAGGUGGUCAGAAUCGCCCAAGAGGAUCUGCUUUCCUUCCAUGAGCAAUGAGUUUCUUAGUGCUGGAUAAGAUGUUUAACUAAAUUACAGAAGGCAUUCCAGUCUCCCAGAGGGAACUGGAAGGAUUCCGCUGAGAAUCAUCAUGCCAGUUAGCUUAAGAAAGAAGAGGUGGGUGUCACUUUAAGAUAAGACGCACCCAGAGCUUUCGGUAUACAUCAGUCUCAGCUCAGGGAUCAUUCUCUGACCUCGGGCCUUCCGAUUGCCUAGCCUAGUUGAUUUCUUUCUUCUAAUUAGUGUAGUGGGGAGUGAAGGUUGGGUUCCUCGUGACAGGGCUAGGGAAUGGAAGUGAUGGAGUUUGAGCAUCUUCUGCAGAUCAGAUUNGUCNNGGAGCUUGCACGCUCGAGGUCCAACGAAAGCCGCAACAAUUAAAGCUAAAUUAG
rnacentral:lncRNA from 1 species